UGCAGUCCUACUGCCUAUGCCAUGCUUAGCAUUUUAGCCUUAAUGUUGAGACAUUGAGCCGAACAGCUUAGGCAGGUUACUAAUCAGUAACCGACGGGAGGUCUCUUCCUGGCCACAGAAGGCUGGCCCAUGUGAAGGGAGAAGAUACGGAAAUCACUCCCCACAGCCAUGACGGUCAGGGCAGGUUAUGGCAAAAGGCGCCCGCACCCUCCUGAGGAGCAGAAACGGGACACCACCUUGGACCUCAGAACCCACAGCAGCACAGCCAGCUGGCAGCCUCGGGGAAGGGUGUAAGGUCACCGGCCAGAAUGCAAAAGCCACACCUCGCCAGGAAGAAACUUCACCAGAUCAAUAUGAGAAACUGUCCUUAAAAAUUGGCCUGUACUCGCCUGGCCGGGUGGAUUCCCAGUCAGGCACAUGCCCGGGGACGUGCAGGAGGCCGCCAAUGGUUUUCACAUCUCUCUCUCCCUCUCUGUAAUCAAUAAAAGAAAAAUAAAUUUUUAAAAAGUUGACCUGUAUUCUUCAGCAAUGCCAAGGUUGGUUACGGUUGAGGAACUGUCCCAGUCAAAGGUGACCAGAGACCCAACAGCCCAAUGCAGGGGGUUAAACACACCACCGAGGGCAUCCUUAGGACAACGAGCCGAAGAUGGCAUUCAGGUUGUCACCGUCACACUCCCUGGGCUUCAUCACUUUCCUGGGGGACCUACGCCUUAGCCCUGAGGAGUAAGAAACCAAGAUGCACCACGAGGUGCCACCAGACUCAAAGGUUUAAGUACGUUUAAAGUUAAGCAGAAAGACAACAAAAACAAAUGUGGCAAAUGUCAGACUACAUGUGGGUAAAGGGCACACAGGAGCUUUCUGCAUUACUCUUGUAAAUUUUCGAAAUCUAUUCUACAUAAUAAAAGCCUAACAUGCAAACU